rnacentral:rRNA from 1 species
GUAGGUGGCAAGCGUUGUCCGGAAUUAUUGGGCGUAAAGCGCGCGCAGGCGGUUCUUUAAGUCUGAUGUGAAAGCCCACGGCUCAACCGUGGAGGGUCAUUGGAAACUGGAGAACUUGAGUACAGAAGAGGAAAGCGGAAUUCCACGUGUAGCGGUGAAAUGCGUAGAGAUGUGGAGGAACACCAGUGGCGAAGGCGGCUUUCUGGUCUGUAACUGACGCUGAGGCGCGAAAGCGUGGGGAGCGAACAGGAUUAGAUACCCCUGGUAGUCCCACGCCGUAAACGAUGAGUGCUAAGUGUUAGGGGGUUUCCGCCCCUUAGUGCUGCAGCUAACGCAUUAAGCACUCCGCCUGGGGAGUACGGCCGCAAGGCUG